rnacentral:lncRNA from 1 species
CAAGAUCUGAUCUCAUCAAGACUGUCUGAUCAAUCAGACAGCCCAGAUCAUCCGAAUCCAUCAGAUUCCAGCGCGUGCACCACACUGGAUUACACCCUGGAGAGAGAAUAAUCUACUUUUAAAAGCAGGACACGUGUCGCUGUCUGAUUGGCUGGGCGUGAUUUUUUUUCCAUUUAAUACUUUGAACUCAAUUAUUUCGUUGUAAAUUAAUUUUUUAUUUAUUUUUUUUAUACCAAAAUUCAUAAUU